AUGAGAGCAGCAUGCAGAUGCUGUGAACAUUGGAGAAGUGAAACACAGAAAUCAACUGUUCUGCCAUGCUCCGGAGCAAAGAUCACUGAUCCUCCCUGGUUUAAGGGCCAAAAAUACCCUGCAGGUCGGAAGGUUAAAAAAGUCUGCUGUUCAAAACUAGCCAAAGUCAACAAAAAGGCAACUAAAGGUGUGCCUCCCAAGUUGGCUCCAGUGCAAAUAAGGAAACACUGCAAGCCUUGUGCUCAGCCAGACCCUCUGCGGAUUCCUGGACCCCUUCCGCGGUUAAAAUAAGACUGAGCAGGGUGAAGAAAAGCAUCUGCCUGCCAGCACAUCUCACAGUGCUUCACUUGGUUGAGGGUCUUCCUUUUACAGAUAGGGCCUGAAUGUAUGCUAUUCUUUUUUUAGCUGGGAGGGGCUUCAGUCAAUAAUGCUUACUCAGUCCCCCAGGCUCCUUCAUCUUGUUAACAUUAACCUGCCAUCUAAAGAGACAGGUAAAACUGUCUGGCUGCUACUGGAUUUUUUCAGUUGCAUGUUCCUCUGUACCAAACAGGGAUUUAGCUCCCCAAACAAGACAGAUGAGAGCUGGCUGUAUCGCUUUGGACUGCAUUUUCAGAUGGGGAAGGGCUGAAGUUACUGUCUCUAGUUAUCAGUAUAUAUAUAUUUAACCUUUUAUAUGAAUAACUUCUUUUAUAUAGACAAAUGGAUUUUCUUUGUAGCUAGGCACAUGAUGAAUUUGUUCCUGCAACAUUUGCUCUCAGUGCUUAAAAUCCACUUGGAAGUGGAUUUCUAUCAAGUGAGAAUGAACUUAUGAUUUAGAAAGGGUUGAGAAACUAGAUUCCAAUAGUUGGGAAGGACCAGAGGACCAGAUUCAAGUACAGUGGCAAGCAUUUUAAUGUCUGGAGUAGGGGAGGGAAAAACACCUGUUCUUUAACUUCCCAGAAGAAUGUCAUCGGCUGGUUAUUAAAAGGCAUUCUGGAAAGGUGUAAGGCUAGUCAGAUUAUUUUUUUUCCUCCUGAAGCCAGAAGGCAAUUGUUCUUUCAAGGCACUUGAGUUGUGUGAUCAUGCCGAUAAACAAAAUUCACUGGAGUAUGAAAUUAAACAAAUGUUAAGAAUAAUACCAAAGGGCUGAAUAAAAGAGAAAGAGAAAUGCUCCCUGCUAAUACA
rnacentral:lncRNA from 1 species